CCGGGCGGCAGCUGCACCGAGCAGGGGGAGCAGCGCCGCCGUGGCCGCCAGCAGUGCGGCCUCCGGGCACCGCCGCCGCCGGGCAGCGCCCCCGAGUCUCCCCGCCCAGUCGGUGGUGUGCCUCGGACCCCGUCCCGGGGAGGCGGCGAGGGGCGCCCAGCGACCCCCGGCUCUGGGCACGCGGCGGGGCCGGGCGGGAGGACGUGCGCGCGUACACUCACGCGGAGGCCGCAGGUGCCGUGGGGUCCCCCGGGGACGGAGGGCUGGCUGGGCGGCCGGCCGUGGAGGGGCGCAUUCCCUGGGAGCUAGCUCCGCUGCCCGUCCCCUGCCCCGGGUUUGUGGCAGCGGGUGCAAUGAUGCAAGUUUCCUAUGGGGCUCUGGACUUCUCAGAGUUGAAGGCGGCGAUUCGGGACGCGAGGUGCUCUUGGAAAGAGUUGAGAAACACCGAGCUCCGCUGGCCUGCGUGCUAGGACGUCGCGUCCCUCAUGCUCCGUCCUUUUGGAAAACUAAGGUCAUAGGCAAGGUGCCUGGAGCUCAGUGGUUACAGGGACUCUUCCUUUUCCCACGGAGAUAAGUUGCCCUGUCAUAAAUCGGGUCAGGGAGCCCUCGCUGGGCUUUGUUGGAGGACCAGUUUACUUUAAGCCACUCUUGAUUGAAGCACCAGGCUCAGACCAGGUGCUGUUACCACGCGAAUGACCUCAGCAGGUCAAAUGGACUGGUCCGACACACAAGGAGGACUUUUGAGGGUUGUUUCCUCUCCGUCAGGCCUCAGGACAGAACUGCGGGAGGACUUUCCAAUUAUCAGGAUAACCCAGGGGCCACAUCUUUGUGUUCAGCUGCAGCUAAACAACUUGACCAGAGCUGAUGCGUGCCCCACAUGGAUGCUGGGAAAAGCAAGAGGGAUCCCAGUGUGAGCAAACCCAGUGCCUGGAGAUAAACCAACCCAACAUCAGUCACUUCACAGCUUUGCCACACCCACCACUGGAAAGUCUGAGCUCUCUGUAUCCACUCUGCCUUCUUCCCUGGACCAGGCCUCUGAUGUCCUACCUCUACCUGUGUGGCCAGAAGGCUGGUCCUGUCCUAGAUGGAAGGUAAAGAGGCCCUCUUGGGGCUGAAAGGGGCACACUGGCUAUGCUCCACCUUUGUCAAAUAAGUUGAGAGAAAACAACAACAAAAAAAACUGCAGAAAAGCGUCCCUAAGGCACCAGCAGAUGACCAGGAGAUUGGGCUACUACCAUCAUCACCUAGAGAACCAAAGCCCACAAGAUAUUUUAGAUUUUCAUUCUUAGCAGCUUUAAGAACUUUUUAAACUUUCCCUUCCUCAUCUGGAAAGUCAUUCUUUGUGUAUUUUCCAACUUUUUGAGAAUGAGCAACGGGUGCUGACAUGUCUGUGGAUUCAAGUGGAAAUGUGGCUCCAGUAACACAGGGCUCCUCACGGGACUCCUUAUGUCACUGGCAAAACUCAAGGAAGAAAGAAAUAUAA